UAGCAAUGGACCUUUCCCCUUAUAACUAAAAUUUCGAUCUAGACAAAAAUUUCAUCACAGCUUGAAAGAGCAUCACAAAAUUAGGAAUAUUCCAAAGUUUUGUUGCAAAAUCUUGUAAAAUGCGGAUAAUAUAGCCUUGCGAAGUUUGCCGUUUUUCAGUCAUUUUGUAUUACAAACGGGAAAUUGACAUACGAUUCGGGUGUUGGGACUGCAAUUUCCCGUUUGUAAUGCAAAAUGACUGAAAAUUGCAAACUCCGCAAGGCUCUAUUUUCCUCAUUUUACAACAUUUCGCAACGAAACUUUGGAAUAUUACUAAUUUUGUGAUGCUCUUUCGAGCUGUGAUGAAAUAUUUGUCUAGACUUGCCUAGAUCAAAAUUUUGAUUAUAAGGGGAAAGGUCUAUUG
rnacentral:lncRNA from 1 species